CUUUUUGGUAAUAAAAAAAAAAGAAUUUGUUUAAACCUAUAUCUUACUUUAUUGGUUUAUUUAUAAAGAGACGAUUUAUGUUAACUAUGUCUACUAUGCAUUGAAUAGUCUCUUUAAGUACAGUACAGUGUGAACACCGGCUGUAUGCGUAUGUACGCAGUUGCGUAUUGGAUUUAUAAAGAAUUUCUUGUGGAUUGUGUAUUUUUAUACACGAGUCUUUUCGUCACUUGUGUACAAAUUUAAUUGUUUAUCAUGUUGAAUGUGCGUGGAACCGUGACUGCUGAUAGUAAAAUGAAACUAUACAUUAGGGAAAUGUAACUAUGUUUAUGUGGGUUAUUAAAAUAACAGUUUCAUACACCACUGUGCUUUAAUUUCAUUUGAGAGGCGGCAGACCAGCAGGCCGGCGUCCACCAGCACGAGCGCGGGCCCGCGCGAGCGCACGUGUGCCAGCAGCUCGGCCUGGCCCAGCGCCUGCUGCCAGACCCUGAUGCCGCAAGCCUUGGCCUCCGCGAAGCGACGCUUCACGCGCUCGCGGUCCUGCGGAGAAGAUUUGUCAAUAAAGAGCUAACAAUUGAAAGGUUUUAUGAGGCUGGAAGGUUUUGUGAAAAAGCAUUUAGAGGGAUUUUAGUAAAAUCAAACGUUUUUCUGGCCCUGGCAAAUAUUCUGGAGUAAACUAGACUAAGAUAAAAAAGGGCUUAGACCUCUUAUUACAGGCUACAUGUUUAGUGCUACAUGCAUAGUAUUGUUCCUCACCAAAUGAAUAAUCCUGUCAUAGUACCCUUGCCGGCUGUAGUUUUCAUUGACUCCAAGUGUGAUGGUAAACAUGCGGUGCUCUAUACCAAACCUGUUGACACAAUCAGCUGUUAGAUGUUCAGUCUCAAUGCCAGGGCUUUGAUAUCAAACAAAUUUAGUUUUUUGUUGAUUGACUGCUAAACAUUGGUGAAAUAACAUUAAAUGUAACAAGUUCAUAUCAA